CAUUAGUGAACGCCCUCACGGGCUUAUAACUAUUCCAAACCUCUGUGAACCGUGCCCUUCGGGGCUAUUUUACAAACAUGGUGUAAUGAACGUCAUAUAUCAUAACAAAACAAAACUUUCAACAACGGAUCUCUCGGCUCUCGCAUCGAUGAAGAACGCAGCGAAAUGCGAUAAGUAAUGUGAAUUGCAGAAUUCAGUGAAUCAUCGAAUCUUUGAACGCACCUUGCGCCCUCUGGUAUUCCGGAGGGCAUGCCUGUUUGAGUGUCAUGUAGACUCAAUCCCUCGGGUUUCCGAGGAGAUUGGACUUGGGUGUUGCCGCUCUGCCGGCUCGCCUUAAAAGACUUAGCGGGAUAGCACCGUAGUCGGCGUAAUAAGUUUCGUCGGUGAAGGUUGUGAUGACUGCUUACAAUCGCCCUCGGGCAAUUUUUGACUCUGACCUCAAAUCAGGUAGGACUACCC
rnacentral:rRNA from 1 species